rnacentral:lncRNA from 1 species
CCAUGACUGGCAACUCUUACUACUACGGCUCUCUGUCAAUAAGAACUUCCAAGCAAAAUUUGUUCAGUACUCCUCCCUGGAGAAGUAGUGGAAACAAUUAUAUUUGAUUCCAGAUCCCAGCUCCCCAGAGUUGGGCAGAAGCACAGAAUUCUAGAGUGUUCUUCCCUGGCUGAUUAUGUGGGUGAUGAGAAGUGGUUCUGGCUGCUGGAUUGGGAGUCACAGCUUCUGGGGGUGGAGCAUGCUGGCCGCCUCGCUCUGCCUGAGGCCUGCCAGGCUCUCCCCAUCUCCGGGACUCUGGAAUGGCUAUUACCCCACCCCAUGAAGACACAUGGGGAAAGAGGCAAGGUGAGUGGAACAGAGGGAGAGAGUGAGAAACUGACUCUGACUUCUUU